rnacentral:rRNA from 1 species
CUGCAUGGCUGUCGUCAGCUCGUGUCGUGAGAUGUUCGGUUAAGUCCGUCAACGAGCGCAACCCCACUGUGUGUUAUACGUGUCACACGGAACUGCCGGUCUUAAACCGGAGGAAGGUGGGGAUGACGUCAAGUCCUCAUGGCCUUUAUGACCAGGGCUACACACGUACUACAAUGGCCGGUACAAAGGGCAGCCACUUAGCGAUAAGGAGCCAAUCCCGUAAAGCCGGUCUCAGUCCGGAUUGGAGUCUGCAACUCGACUCCAUGAAGUUGGAAUCGCUAGUAAUCGCGUAUCAGCAUGACGCGGUCGAAUACGUUCCCGGGCCUU